rnacentral:rRNA from 1 species
GAGUUUGAUCAUGGCUCAGGACGAACGCUGGCGGCGUGCUUAACACAUGCAAGUCGAACGGGAACCUUUAUUUCGGUAAAGGUGAGAGUGGCAAACGGGUGAGUAACACGUAGGCAACCUGCCGACAGGAUGGGGACAACAUUCCGAAAGGAAUGCUAAUACCGAAUGAAGUCACCGGAGGGCAUCCUCUGGUGAUGAAAGAUGGCCUCUGAAUAUGCUAUCACCUGUCGAUGGGCCUGCGUCUGAUUAGCCAGUUGGCGGGGUAACGGCCCACCAAAGCGACGAUCAGUAGCCGGUCUGAGAGGAUGAACGGCCACAUUGGGACUGAGACACGGCCCAGACUCCUACGGGAGGCAGCAGUGGGGAAUCUUCCACAAUGGGCGAAAGCCUGAUGGAGCAACGCCGCGUGAGUGAAGAAGGUCUUCGGAUCGUAAAGCUCUGUUGCACGGGACGAAAACCGAGCUUGAAAACAUUGAGUUUGGGUGACGGUACCGAGCGAGGAAGCCACGGCUAACUACGUGCCAGCAGCCGCGGUAAUACGUAGGUGGCGAGCGUUGUCCGGAAUUAUUGGGCGUAAAGGGAGCGCAGGCGGACAUAUAAGUCCAUCUUAAAAGUGCGGGGCUCAACCCCGUGAGGGGAUGGAAACUGUAUGCCUUGAGUGCAGGAGAGGAAAGCGGAAUUCCCAGUGUAGCGGUGAAAUGCGUAGAUAUUGGGAGGAACACCAGUGGCGAAGGCGGCUUUCUGGACUGUAACUGACGCUGAGGCUCGAAAGCCAGGGGAGCGAACGGGAUUAGAUACUCCGGUAGUCCUGGCCGUAAACGAUGAAUGCUAGGUGUAGGAGCUAUCGACCCCUCCUGUGCCGCAAAUAACACAAUAACCAUUCCGCCUGGGGAGUAUGGUCGCACGAGUGAAAAUCAAAGGAAUUGAGGGGGGCCCGCACAAGCGGGGGAGUAUGUGGUUUAAUUUGACGCAACGUGAAGAACCCUACCAGGGGUAGACAUUGACGCCCAGAGCCAGAGACAGCUACCUCCCUAUCGGGGGCACGAAAACAGGUGCUGCAUGGCUGUCGUCAGCUCGCGUCGUGAGAUGUUGGGUUAAGUCCCUCAACGAGCGCAACCCCUGUCUCUUCUUGCCGUCUUGUAAUGUUGGGCACUCAAAUGAGACUGCCGCCGAUAACACGCAGGAAGGUGGGGAUGACGUCAAGUCAUCAUGCCCCUUAUGUCCUGGGCUACACACGUACUACAAUGGAUGGACAGAGGGACAGCGAAGGCGCGAGCUCGGAGCGGACCCCACAAACCAUCCCCCAGUUCGGAUUGCAGGCUGCAACCCGCCUGCAUGAAGUCGGAAUCGCUAGUAAUCGCAGGUCAGCAUACUGCGGUGAAUACGUUCCCGGGCCUUGUACACACCGCCCGUC